AUACGUCCCUGUCCAUAUCAAAUCGACUAUAGUAUAGUAUAGUGUCACCAUAUAACCAUAUAAACUUGCACAUAUAAUAGAAAAUCGCGGUUGUGCACUUGACAUCCGCAAACACUUCAUAUUCCGAUAUAUAAAUGCCAAUAUUAACUACCCCCUGCUAUGACAAGUCUUUCAUAAAGCACCCGCUUCUCUCAACCAUCCAUAGCUACUCUUCAAGUGUCCUUGUCGCGGCUAAGGUGGGCAAAUAAUAUUUAAGCCCUCCGACUUUCUAUAUAGCGAACAAAACUACACUUGACUUAUAAAAAAGAGACGAUGACGAAGGAAACGGAGAAGUCCUUGUUAUUAUACGAAGCCGUAUUAAUUUCGAUUUAACAAUUGCAUUGAAGAAAAGAACUAACAAAAAAAGCAAAAAAAAAAAAAGAAGGAGUAAAUUCAUAAAAAAAAAGGACGAAAUUGUUGGAGAAUACAAAUAUUAAAGAAUACGCGUGUGUUCGGGGCGGUUUGAAUAGAGCAUCUUUUGGGCAUACAAAUAAAGAAGAAAUGAAUGUAAUAAUGAAAAAACAAAA